AAUCAUCCCCAAGUAUAACAAGAGACGAACAGUUAGUGCUGAUUUUCAUUUGCAUAAAUUUUCAUAUAUUUUAGUGAAAAUAAUAGCGGGAGCCGAGGAGUGCUCCUGCUCAGUUGAGGCAGAGGAAAGAAAAUCUUAGGGAGCACCGAGACGUAGGAAAGGGAGAUAACCGUUUACAGGCUGCGUGGGAACAAUGUGAAGCUAUUUCCCCCUUUUCUUGGACGCAAGGAGAGACACCGUCCCCCUGGUGCACACACACCACACAGCAAACUUUGGUCCUCCUCUGUGACACCCCAGCCCCCCUCCCCAUCCUCCUCCUCCUCCUCCUCCUCCUCCUCCUCCUCCUCCUCUGCCUCCCCCCCGAUGCACCACCUCUGGAGAUCCCAGCAGGUAUCCUGCGAGAACUUGACUGUCCUCUUUAUCAGAUCCCACCGUUUCUCGCACGUCUCCACCGGAUUUGGCUCCAGAAGCUUUACCUGUGACUGACCUGCUGCGCAUGUGUCUCAGGUGUGAUGGGACGUCUUCAUACAUGCAGACGGGAGCUGGCAGAGGGGCAAGUCGACGGCAGCGGAUUGGUUCAGCACCGCCGUACCUUCAGGGAUGCUUGCACAUGAAUCUGUGUGUGCAGUGAGGAAAAAGAAGGUGGUGGGGGGGGGACAAACAGACUUCCAGUGUAUGACAGCUAUAUCCCAUUUUGGCUUAGUUAGUUAUUCAUUCAAACAUCAUUAGCCGUACUUAUCAGAUUAGUUGGAGAAAGGGAUUAGCUUGAUUGUGGAAUACUUGGAUACCGAUUCUGAGAGUGAGUGAUCGCUGGUUUGUUCUACUUUUGACUUGACACAAUAAUAAA